UACGUAGGGUGCGAGCGUUAAUCGGAAUUACUGGGCGUAAAGCGUGCGCAGGCGGUUGUGCAAGACAGAUGUGAAAUCCCCGGGCUUAACCUGGGAAUUGCAUUUGUGACUGCACGGCUAGAGUGUGUCAGAGGGGGGGGUAGAAUUCCACGUGUAGCAGUGAAAUGCGUAGAUAUGUGGAGGAAUACCGAUGGCGAAGGCAGCCCCCUGGGAUAACACUGACGCUCAUGCACGAAAGCGUGGGGAGCAAACAGG
rnacentral:rRNA from 1 species